UACGAAGGGGGCUAGCGUUGUUCGGAUUUACUGGGCGUAAAGCGCACGUAGGCGGGUCGUUAAGUCGAGGGUGAAAUCCUGGAGCUCAACUCCAGAACUGCCUUCGAUACUGGCGACCUAGAGUCCGGAAGAGGUGAGUGGAACUCCUAGUGUAGAGGUGGAAUUCGUAGAUAUUAGGAAGAACACCAGUGGCGAAGGCGGGCUCACUGGUCCGGGUACUGACGCUGAGG
rnacentral:rRNA from 1 species